UGGAAACGGAGGCCAGCAGAGGUGGCUGACCCGGGCUGUUGAUACUUCCUUCAGGGCCUGAUUCCAAGGUUGGGACAAGAGCAGAGGAAGACAGAGGGCGUGGCAAAGGCAGCCAAGGAGCUGGGGUUUUCCCACAGAUGGAACAAUGCCUGGCAGAGAUGGCCCAGGGCCCAGCCAUGCCUUGCAGGCCUGGGAGCCACUGCGUGUGAAGCCGCCAGUGACGAGAAGAAUCACACUGGAAGCCAAGUGCUGGCACCAAGGUCGCGCCGCGCCUGGAGACAGAGCCUGCUUCCACCCUUGUAGUAGGAGGUGCCUGGCCUGGCUGAUUCCCAGCCCGUGUCAGGCUCACCAGGUGCUCCCGCCCACGUCAAGUACAUGCACCGAUUUUUUAUGCAAGAUUGAACAACUUAACGGCCUGAACAAGUCUGAUGACAAGACUUUAAUUGCUAUUUUUCUCCCUCCAUCCCUCAAGAGAGCUAUAUGCAGACAUUUAGAGAGGUAUUUCAUAAAACAGAAAAGAAAGCAAUUCAGGAAGUUCCUUGUAAAUCUGCCUCCUGAGCCCUGU